AAAAUUACUUGGUAUAAGUGUUGGAAGUGAUAAAUGCUAAUUGUUUGAAGAUAAUCAGGGAAAAGCAACAAAACCAGGGAAUAUAGUCGUCUCCUGUACCGUGCUAUUAAGUCUAAGACGUUCCUUGAGGGUAAGAUCUUUAACUUCUUAUCUCUGCUAACAUCUUAUCCCUAACUUCUUAUUCCACAACACAAGCAAGUACCUGGAAAAUAAAUUAAGUAAUGGAAAG
rnacentral:lncRNA from 1 species